AUUGAACGCUGGCGGCAGGCCUAACACAUGCAAGUCGAGCGGAUGAAGAGAGCUUGCUCUCUGAUUCAGCGGCGGACGGGUGAGUAAUGCCUAGGAAUCUGCCUGGUAGUGGGGGACAACGUUUCGAAAGGAACGCUAAUACCGCAUACGUCCUACGGGAGAAAGUGGGGGAUCUUCGGACCUCACGCUAUCAGAUGAGCCUAGGUACGAUUAGCUAGUUGGUGAGGUAAAGGCUCACCAAGGCGACGAUCGUUAACUGGUCUGAGAGGAUGAUCAGUCACACUGGAACUGAGACACGGUCCAGACUCCUACGGGAGGCAGCAGUGGGGAAUAUUGGACAAUGGGCGAAAGCCUGAUCCAGCCAUGCCGCGUGUGUGAAGAAGGUCUUCGGAUUGUAAAGCACUUUAAAUUGGGAGGAAGGGCAGUAAGUUAAUACCUUGCUGUUUUGACGUUACCGACAGAAUAAGCACCGGCUAACUUCGUGCCAGCAGCCGCGGUAACAC
rnacentral:rRNA from 1 species